rnacentral:rRNA from 1 species
GACGAACGCUGGCGGCGCGCUUAACACAUGCAAGUCGAACGGAAAGGCCUGCUUUCCCUUGUGGAUUGCGGGUACUCGAGUGGCGAACGGGUGAGUAACACGUGAGUGAUCUGCCCCCAACUUGGGUAUAAGCCUGGGAAACUGGGUCUAAUUCCCGAUCGGACUGCAGGGUGGUGCCUGUGGUGGAAAACGAUUUUCUAGUGGUUGGGGAUGAGCUCGCGGCCUAUCAGCUUGUUGGUGGGGUAAUGGCCUACCAAGGCGGCGACGGGUAGCCGGCCUGAGAGCGUGGACGGUCACAUUGGGACUGGGAUACGGCCCAGACGGCUGCGGGAGGCAGCAGUGGGGAAUAUUGCACAAUGGGCGGAAGCCUGAUGCAGCGACGGCGCGUGGGGGAUGACGGCCUUCGGGUUGUAAACUCCUUUCGACCGCGAGGAAGCCACCUGGUUGGAAGGGUGGUGACGGUAGUGGUAGAAGAAGCACCGGCUAACUACGUG